UGAAGGGGAACUCAGUCUAAGAACACCGCAUCCUGCGGCAACGACUGAGUGACCAACAUCGUGUUGG
rnacentral:sRNA from 1 species